AAAAUUAGAAAGCCCACCUGGCAUUUGCUGUGGUCACAUAGAGGGACCAACAUGUCAUUGAGUCAAAUGAGACCUCAAACUUCACAGCUAUUGGAGCUUCAUGUGUUUUAUGUCUCAGCAGAAGUGUGGAACUUCAAGCUGAAUACAGUUCCUGUAGCUCUUACUAGCAAAUUUGUCUCAGCUGGAUUUGUAAGAUGUAUUAAUGAAUGA
rnacentral:lncRNA from 1 species